rnacentral:rRNA from 1 species
UACGUAGGGGGCAAGCGUUGUCCGGAAUCAUUGGGCGUAAAGCGCGUGUAGGCGGUCCGAUUAGUCUGCUGUGAAAGUCAGGGGCUCAACCCUUGAAUGCCGGUGGAUACUGUCGGGCUAGAGUGCGGAAGAGGCGAGUGGAAUUCCUGGUGUAGCGGUGAAAUGCGCAGAUAUCAGGAGGAACACCAAUUGCGAAGGCAGCUCGCUGGGACGUUACUGACGCUGAGGCGCGAAAGCGUGGGGAGCAAACAGG